AUUUAAGUGGUCAAAAGGCAAAUAGUUAUUUCCCUGUAUCACUGGGGCCCACGUCCCGCACCGGAGACCGGCGGGGGAGACGCCUGCGCGACCCCGGGGACAGCAGCAGCGACACCGCCGCCAUCUUAGCGCGCUGCCAUCCCCUCCUGCCCCGUUUCCCGCCGCGCCGCGUUCUGAUUGGACAACGGGAGCGCCAAUCUCCCGCCCCUCGCUCUGUGAUUGGCCACAAUCCCUGUUAGCCUUCCCUGAUCGCUACCGCUCCUACGGGUACGCGGCGGGGGUCAAACGCUGGGCGGGACUCCGCCUUCCCCCCUCGAGGCCCCGCCCGAUGGGGGGCGGUGCCUGUUGCUGGGGUAACGCGGGCAGGGAGGGUGCCCGGAUGCGGUUCGAUCGCAACAUGGCGGUGGCCGAGUGAGCUGGGGGGAGUGGCAGCCCUGGGCUCGUCGUGAGGGCAUCUUUCACCGGAGGAUCCCGGCAUGCUUAGCUGAGUCGAAAAAGAGUUUUCCCUUCCUCGCAGACAGUCAGGGCUGUCUUGCCGCACAUUGUGCCAGGGCAGUGGGAUGGUGCUGGGGUGUCCCGCUCUGCGGCUCAGUGCCCCCCCCCAGCAGGACGGAGGAGACGUGGCCUCGUGAAAGACUCCUCUUUGGCAGCAAAUGUCUCGCUGUGGCUGCAGGUAAAACACCUGGGGCUGUU